rnacentral:rRNA from 1 species
AUUGAACGCUGGCGGCAUGCUUUACACAUGCAAGUCGAACGGCAGCAUGGGUGCUUGCACCUGAUGGCGAGUGGCGAACGGGUGAGUAACAUAUCGGAACAUAUCCGGAAGUGGGGGAUAACGUAGCGAAAGUUACGCUAAUACCGCAUAUGCCCUGAGGGGGAAAGGAGGGGAUCGUAAGACCUUUCGCUUUCGGAGUGGCCGAUAUCAGAUUAGCUUGUUGGUGAGGUAAAGGCUCACCAAGGCGACGAUCUGUAGCUGGUCUGAGAGGACGACCAGCCACACUGGGACUGAGACACGGCCCAGACUCCUACGGGUGGCAG